rnacentral:rRNA from 1 species
CCUACGGGAGGCAGCAGUGGGGAAUAUUGCACAAUGGGCGCAAGCCUGAUGCAGCGACGCCGCGUGGGGGAUGAAGGCCUUCGGGUUGUAAACUCCUUUCGCUAUCGACGAAGCCACUUGUGGUGACGGUAGGUAGAUAAGAAGCACCGGCUAACUACGUGCCAGCAGCCGCGGUAAU